rnacentral:rRNA from 1 species
CAGCAGCCGCGGUAAUUCCAGCUCCAAUAGCGUAUAUUAAAGUUGUUGCAGUUAAAAGCCGUAGUUGGACCUUGGACCUGGACAGGCGGUCCGCCUCACGGCGAGUACUGUCUUGCUGGUCUUUCCUCUUGGUGAUCUGUUGUUUCGGCAGCAGGGAACCAGGACCUUUACUUUGAAAAAUUAAGAGUGUUCAAAGCAGGCUCGACGCCGGAAUAUAUUAGCAUGGAAUAAUAAAAAGGACGUGCGGUUCUAUUUUGUUGGUUUUUGGAAUCGCCGUA